UACCGGCCAGCGGAGGUCUCGCGGCUAACGACACAGAUGCGGGCUUUCGCGUUUUGUUUUCUGAAUCUUUUUUUUCUCUGCUUCUGACGGCGAGUGGACGUGGCCCGGUUUUUCCGUUUCUGAUUCUUCUUUUGCACUUUCUUUAUUUUGUGCGUGCACGCAAUUCCGGAAGGAGAAGUGAGUGGCUGCCAGAGAAGCCGGAGCUCGGACUUCGAGAUAAUAAUCGAGUGAUUGCCAGGGAAGGAAGUUGGAGCUUGGAGACAUAUACUUCGAGACAUACGAAUUUUUUUACGAGUUUUGGAGCCUUGUGGCCUUAAGAACUUAUUUCGAUUUCAUCGAAGAUGAUAUCAUAAAAAUUAAAGAAGAGUGUGAUCUUAUUAAAUUGCUCCAAAUAUUGAAUGAAUUCAAAGUCGAUAUAUUACCACUUCAAGUUAGAUUAACAGUAUAUAAAUUAUAUAAUCUUGAUUGAGUACUGUUUAAAUAAUCAAAGGGAUGCUUAUAAAAAUAGACACAAAUUGUUAACAUUAGCAAUUUAUUUACGAAUUAAAGGAAAUAAUAGUAGACUUCGUUAGGGAAACAUUUUAAAAUUAAUAGCUAAAAAGGCACUUAAGAGUUUGUGAAUGUUUUGGAUAAAGUGACUAUACAAUUCAUAGAUUGUUUUAAAUUAUGGAGACUGUUUUUGCUAUAAAUGAUCAAAUCCAAGCGUUAUUGCAACGAAAUGUUCUUUGGUCUGUGGUCGAAUUUUUCGAUAAUUUGGAAGAAUCAGCUGCUAUCGAGGUAAUACCAACAAUAUGGAUCUCAGUUAUCAACAAUGAAAUAACGUGCAAAUAGCCUGACAAAAAUCCUCAGAAAGCUAUAAAAAAAUGUGCAGCCCCAAAAAGUUUUUGGAAAAUAUAUAAAAUUAAAACUAUAUUACUUCAAACUGAUACAUACAAGUCUGCUUUGGAAUUUGCAAUUAAAAAAACUCAAACCGAUACUGAUAUAUCCGUUCCAGAAGUUCAUAAAAGAAGGAAACCAAAAAGAAAAAAACCUAAAUGAUUAUAUGACCACUAAGCUUAGUGACAAUUCUAAAAGCCACCUCCUCCAAAACUUCCAACACUAUGUGAUUCCGCAAUAGAUCGUGGAAUGUAUUUCCAAAGGAUGAUACAAACAUUGCUCCAAGUGACAAGACAAUAAAUGAUAAUGAUCUUCACGAUAACGAUAAAGAAAAUCGAAGUCCGAACGAGAUUAAAACUAACAAUUUGGAUUGUUUAAAAAACAAGAAUGAGGAUCUUGAAUCCUAUCAUAGGAUUGGGAAUGCAUCGCAGGAAAUCAUGUUUACACCAAAUUUCGUACGCAACAUUUUAUUUGAAGAUUUACCAUCAGACAGUCAGAAUAUCAUCAAGAUUUUGGAAAAUACAAUAGUGAUUAGGAAGUUAUUGGAAGAACAGAAGACAUUUUUGGAACAAAAGAAAGAAAACGCACCAGUCUGACCCAAAUUGUAAUAACUUGUCUAUUCCAACAAAACCGUAUAAAAAAUUUAAAAAAUUGCAAGGGUAUAAUACUUCAUUGAGGAUUAAUACAAACAAAAGAAAA